rnacentral:misc_RNA from 1 species
AAGUCGUAACAAGGUUUGCUUCGAGGAUCAAUAACCUGCAGAGAAGCCUUGAAUACUCAGUCUACCAGCGUAGGCAACAUCUUCACUGUGCUUGGAUACCAUCCAAGGUAACAUGCAGCUGCUGACAGCAGUUCACAGAUCAAACGAAGGUGGUCCAAGAAUUUGGAUUCAGAUAUGACCGGCCUACCCCUGAAAAGGUUGUAGACCUUGCGUUCCGUAGGUGAACCUGCGGAAGGAUCAUUACUGAGUAUUUGUCUUUUAUAGACAUCUCUCUAUCCAUAAACUCUUUUUUUAAAAAGACAUGAUUUACACAAUUAGUCUGAAUGUUUAUUUAAAUCUUCAAAACUUUCAACAACGGAUCUCUUGGUUCUC